AACAAACGCUGGCGGCGUGCAUAACACAUGCAAGUCUGACGGGAAAGCCGGCUUCGGCUGGCAAGUACCGUGGCGAACGGGUGAGUAACACGUGGGUAAUCUGCCCUCGAGUUUGGGAUAACCCUGCGAAAGCGGGGCUAAUACCGAAUAAGACCACGCCUUGUCCGCAGGGCGCGGUAAAAGGUGGCCUCUUCUUGAAAGCUAUCACUUGAGGAUGAGCCCGCGGCCUAUUAGCUAGUUGGUGGGGUAACGGCCCACCAAGGCGACGAUGGGUAGCCGGCCUGAGAGGGUGUACGGCCACACUGGCACUGAGAUACGGGCCAGACUCCUACGGGAGGCAGCAGUGGGGAAUUUUGCGCAAUGGGGGAAACCCUGACGCAGCAACGCCGCGUGAGUGAUGAAGGCCUUCGGGUCGUAAAGCUCUUUUAGUGGGGAAGAAGCCCACCCGGGCUAAUAUCCCGGGUGUAUGACGGUACCCACAGAAAAAGUUCCGGCUAACUACGUGCCAGCCGCCGCGGUAACAC
rnacentral:rRNA from 1 species